ACAACAAUGAACAACAUCAUCAUCCUCAUCUGGACCAUUGGGGUUUUUAUUCAAGCCUCCAGAGGAAUCACUCUGACUCAACCUAAAGUUAAAACUGUCCAGCUCGGUCAAACAGCUACAAUAGAGUGUAACAUAGAUGUAGGGAUACUUGGCAACCUAUUAGCCUGGUAUCAGCAGAAACCUGGAGACGCUCCUAAACUCCUCAUUUAUUACAUAAACAGCCUCCAGUCAGGAACUCCAUCUAGAUUCAGUGGCAGUGGAACAGCGAGUACAGGAAAAGAUUUCACUCUGACCAUCAGUGGAGUCCAGACUGAAGAUACAGGAGAUUAUUACUGUCAGAGUGCACACAGUGGUCCAGUGUUCACACAGUGAUAAAGAGUCGUACAAAAACCUCCGUCAGUCAGAGUCACAGUGACUGCACUGAUACAGCUGAGAGACACUGCAGCUGCUGAUGCUCAUCUCAAUAUUUUUUGUCUGUAACUCUCUAUUGUACUGAUGAACACCAUCUAUUUGCCCAACAUUACGAGUAAAUAUUAGAAUCAUGUAGGAGCAAAACUAUUCAAUGCUGUACAAAUCACACAAAUCUAGAUUACUUACAAAUCUUCUACUCAAACAGUGUGCAAAAGUCUUAUUCAGUGCUGCUGCACUAACUGGCAUCACUGGUUCCUGAAGGGGUUAAUUCAUGAUCCCAUUUUAAUUAAUUUAAUUAAAUCUGUAGUGGUAUAUGAUUAAUGAUUACAAUAAUCAGUGUCUCUGCAUCAGAAAAAUGCCCUAUCUUCCCAUUUUUAUAGUCCUUGGCUAAACCCAAGCUGAAUUCACUGUUUGUUCAUCAGCAGAGGUCCAACAAAUUUCCUCAAAUGUUCUUCUACUUCCUGCACACCCUUGUUCAGAUUCAUUCAGUUCAGAUUAAUUCAAACUAUAGCCUUCAUAUUUAAAAUGACUGGAUGAUUAUUUUUUAACUGCUUGCUCCCUUAAUUACGACAUUAACC